UACGUAGGGGGCAAGCGUUGUCCGGAAUUAUUGGGCGUAAAGCGCGCGCAGGCGGUUUUCUAAGUUAGGUGUGAAAGCCCACGGCUCAACCGUGGAGGGCCACCUAAAACUGGGAGACUUGAGUGCAGGAGAGGAGAGCGGAAUUCCACGUGUAGCGGUGAAAUGCGUAGAGAUGUGGAGGAACACCCGUGGCGAAGGCGGCUCUCUGGCCUGUAACUGACGCUGAGGCGCGAAAGCGCGGGGAGCGAGCAGG
rnacentral:rRNA from 1 species